rnacentral:rRNA from 1 species
CAGUCGCCGCGGGAAUACGUAGGGUGCAAGCGUUAAUCGGAAUUACUGGGCGUAAAGCGUGCGCAGGCGGUUUUGUAAGACAGAGGUGAAAUCCCCGGGCUCAACCUGGGAACUGCCUUUGUGACUGCAAGGCUAGAGUACGGCAGAGGGGGAUGGAAUUCCGCGUGUAGCAGUGAAAUGCGUAGAUAUGCGGAGGAACACCGAUGGCGAAGGCAAUCCCCUGGGCCUGUACUGACGCUCAUGCACGAAAGCGUGGGGAGCAAACAGGAUUAGAUACCCGGGUAGUCCCUGUCUCUUAUAC